AUGUUUUAGAACAGCAGUAUUAAUUCAAAUGGUGUAUUGUUGAUCUCGAAAGCUAAGCAGGGUCGGGCCUGGUUAGUACUUGGAUGGGAGACCACCUAAAAAGACCAGGUGCUGUAGGCAUA
ensembl:rRNA 5S_rRNA 5S ribosomal RNA